rnacentral:lncRNA from 1 species
CAUCCUGUGCGCACGAACGUCCUUGGGCACGGCUACCAUGGCCGUCCUUGACUCCUCCUGCGCGGGGAUCAACACACAUUGAUUAAUGAAAUUAAUGGCAGCGCAUCCUCGGUUCCGCGUCUACCGGUGGCCUUCUGCAGAACUAAUUAAUUUGGUCUUAUCGACUCUUAGAGGCCUCACCCCGUUCAAAGGAUAGCAAAACUUAAAGAAAAGCAAAACUUAGGGUUGUCAGGAGGUGACACAUGUCGUCCUAAGAAAUUGACAGGUUCAUUCCUACGGGGAAAAAGAGGUUGGGCCUAAUGUUCAAUUUCCUCAAAAAACAAAAAAAUUCAAUGAGAUUCCUAAGGCCUCUCCCAA